GUGUUUCCUGUUUUUUGACUGAACCAGAAAAAAAAAAGCCGAGGCUCAGAGAACAGUCAUUCUGGAGACAACACUCACAGAACCCAGGGAGAAGAAGUCUGUGAAGCAGCCAAGACUCUGCAGCUCACACAGGAAUGGCAGACCUGCUCUGGAUCACGUGCCUGUUACCCUCCACGUCCCAGCCUCUCAUCCCCAUGAGGCAAACAAGCGAACCUUGCUCUGCAGCCUCUGUGCCCCUACAAGCACAGAACAUCUCUUCCCCCCUCCUCCAGCUCCCAUUCUGUGUCCUCCGGCUGACAUGAUUUCACCCAGCUCACAGCUCAACACGGCAUGUUUGAUGGGGUCAUAGUCUCCUGCUCAAAGACCUGAAAACUCUUCAGGAGCUGGCUUGGAGUUCCCCUUCCAAGCUUCAGAAUAAAACUCAAGGCCUAUGGGCAGCAUAGAAAUCCAGGAAUCUUCCAGAGCCUUGGGGUCUAGGAGGGCACCGGAAGCUGCUGCCUCUCACCUGUUGAUGGAGCUGACACUGGGCACGGUGUCAUUGUCACAAACGCCUUCUGCCAGGAGCCGGUCCCGGAUCUCCCAGGCAAACAUGGUUCCAUGGUUCAAGUUGAAGCCGCUUCUCCCAGACUCUAAAGUCCAGCCUCACUUGGAAUCCUUGGACUGAUUCAGCCCCUGAAGAUGAGCCUCCUCCUCCUCCUCCUCCAGAACCUAUCCACCUCCCAACUAGCUGACUGACAGAUCCGUGGCUUGGUCAGGAUGCCCUCUGGUCUCCUGUGGUCUUCUUUGGUCUCUUCUACCAAUGAAUAAACGCCAUUGUCAUCA